GACGAACGCUGGCGGCGUGCUUAACACAUGCCAGUCGAACGGAAAGGCCCUGCUUUUGUGGGGUGCUUGAGUGGCGAACGGGUGAGUAACACGUGAGUAACCUGCCCUUGACUUUGGGAUAACUUCAGGAAACUGGGGCUAAUACCGGAUAGGAGCUCCUGCUGCAUGGUGGGGGUUGGAAAGUUUGGGCGGUUGGGGAUGGACUCGCGGCUUAUCAGCUUGUUGGUGGGGUAGUGGCUUACCAAGGCUUUGACGGGUAGCCGGCCUGAGAGGGUGACCGGCCACAUUGGGACUGAGAUACGGCCCAGACUCCUACGGGAGGCAGCAGUGGGGAAUAUUGCACAAUGGGCGGAAGCCUGAUGCAGCAACGCCGCGUGCGGGAUGACGGCCUUCGGGUUGUAAACCGCUUUCGCCUGUGACGAAGCGUGAGUGACGGUAAUGGGUAAAGAAGCACCGGCUAACUACGUG
rnacentral:rRNA from 1 species